GUAGGUGGCAAGCGUUGUCCGGAAUUAUUGGGCGUAAAGCGCGCGCAGGCGGUUCUUUAAGUCUGAUGUGAAAGCCCACGGGCUCAACCGUGGAGGGUCAUUGGAAACUGGAGAACUUGAGUACAGAAGAGGAAAGCGGAAUUCCACGUGUAGCGGUGAAAUGCGUAGAGAUGUGGAGGAACACCAGUGGCGAAGGCGGCUUUCUGGUCUGUAACUGACGCUGAAGCGCGAAAGCGUGGGGAGCAAACAGGAUUAGAUACCCUGGUAGUCCACGCCGUAAACGAUGAGUGCUAAGUGUUAGGGGGUUUCCGCCCCUUAGUGCUGCAGCUAACGCAUUAAGCACUCCGCCUGGGGAGUACGGCCGCAAGGCUG
rnacentral:rRNA from 1 species